rnacentral:rRNA from 1 species
UGAAACUACGCCUACAUGAAGCUGGAGUUACUAGUAAUCGCAGAUCAGAAUGCUGCGGUGAAUGCGUUCCCGGGUCUUGUACACACCGCCCGUCACACCAUGGGAGUCGGAAAUGCCCGAAGUCUGUGACCCAACCUUAGGGAGGGAGCAGCCGAAGGCAGGUCGGAUGACUGGGGUGAAGUCGUAACAAGGUAAC